rnacentral:rRNA from 1 species
AGCAGCCGCGGUAAUUCCAGCUCCAAUAGCGUAUAUUAAAGUUGUUGCAGUUAAAAAGCUCGUAGUUGAAUUUCGGGGUCAGUAGAUUGGUCGUGCCACUGGUAUGUACUGGUCUUACUGGCUCCUCCUUCCUGAUGAACCGUAAUGCCAUUAAUUUGGUGUUGCGGGGAAACUGGACUGUUACUUUGAAAAAAUUAGAGUGUUUAAAGCAGGCUAACGCUUGAAUACAUUAGCAUGGAAUAAUGAAAUAGGACGUUCGAUCUUAUUUUGUUGGUUUCUAGGAUUGACGUAAUGAUUAAUAGGGAUAGUUGGGGGCAUUAGUAUUCAAUUGUCAGAGGUGAAAUUCUUGGAUUUUAUUGAAGACUAACUACUGCGAAAGCAUUUGCCAAGGAUGUUUUCAUUAAUCAAGAACGAAAGUUAGGGGAGUCGAAGACGAUCAGAUACCGUCGU